CCUACGGGAGGCAGCAGUGGGGAAUAUUGGACAAUGGGCGAAAGCCUGAUCCAGCAAUUCCGCGUGUGUGAAGAAGGCCUUCGGGUUGUAAAGCACUUUAGUGGGGGAAGAAACAGCUUGGCCACACCAAGCCUUGACGGUACCCCAAGAAUAAGCACCGGCUAACUCUGUGCCAGCAGCCGCGGUAAUACAGAGGGUGCAAGCGUUAAUCGGAUUUACUGGGCGUAAAGGGUGCGUAGGUGGCUAUUUAAGUCGGAUGUGAAAGCCCGGGGCUCAACCUCGGAAUUGCAUUCGAUACUGAGUGGCUAGAGUUCGGUAGAGGGCGGCGGAAUUUCCGGUGUAGCGGUGAAAUGCGUAGAUAUCGGAAGGAACAUCAAUGGCGAAGGCAGCCGCCUGGGCCUGGACUGACACUGAGGCACGAAAGCGUGGGUAGCAAACAGGAUUAGAUACCCUGGUAGUCCACGCCGUAAACGAUGAGAACUUGACGUUGGUUCGUUUUACGAAUCGGUGUCGCAGCUACGACGAUAAGUUACUCCGUCCGUCGGGUAGGUAGUGGCCGCCGAGGUUAGGUAACGUACAAUAGAAGUUAGACGGCGUGAGACGUGCCGAACGGACGACGACGAGGGAGGUAGG
rnacentral:rRNA from 1 species